rnacentral:rRNA from 1 species
UACGGAGGGAGCUAGCGUUGUUCGGAUAUACUGGGCGUAAAGCGCACGUAGGCGGCGCCGUAAGUCAGGGGUGAAAUCCCGGAGCUCAACUCCGGAACUGCCUUUGAAACUGCGGUGCUAGAAUCCUGGAGAGGCGAGUGGAAUUCCGAGUGUAGAGGUGAAAUUCGUAGAUAUUCGGAAGAACACCAGUGGCGAAGGCGACUUACUGGACACAUAUUGACGCUGAGGUGCGAAAGCGUGGGGAGCAAACAGG